UGGUCAACACCAGAUAACAUCAGGUCAAGGGGAGUGGUCAACACCAGAUAACAUCAGGUCAAGGGGAGUGGUCAACACCAGAUAACAUCAGGUCAAGGGGAGUGGUCAACACCAGAUAACAUCAGGUCAAGGGGAGUGGUCAACACCAGAUAACAUCAGGUCAAGGGGAGUGGUCAACACCAGAUAACAUCAGGUCAAGGGGCGUGGUCAACACCAGAUAACAUCAGGUCAAGGGGAGUGGUCAACACCAGAUAACAUCAGGUCAAGGGGAGUGGUCAACACCAGAUAACAUCAGGUCAAGGGGCGUGGUCAACAC